rnacentral:rRNA from 1 species
CGGACGGGUGAGUAACGCGUGAGAAUCUAGCUUCAGGUUGGGGACAACAGUUGGAAACGACUGCUAAUACCGAAUAUGCCGAGAGGUGAAAGAUUAAUUGCCUGAAGAAGAGCUCGCGUCUGAUUAGCUAGUUGGUGGGGUAAGAGCUUACCAAGGCGACGAUCGGUAGCUGGUCUGAGAGGACGAUCAGCCACACUGGGACUGAGACACGGCCCAGACUCCUACGGGAGGCAGCAGUGGGGAAUUUUCCGCAAUGGGCGAAAGCCUGACGGAGCAAUACCGCGUGAGGGAAGAAGGCUCUUGGGUUGUAAACCUCUUUUCUUAGGGAAGAAAGAAAUGACGGUACCUAAGGAAUAAGCAUCGGCUAACUCCGUGCCGGCAGCCGCGGUAAUACGGAGGAUGCAAGCGUUAUCCGGAAUGAUUGGGCGUAAAGCGUCCGCAGGUGGCAAGUCAAGUUUGCGGUUAAAGGUUCUGGCUCAACCAGAGACAGGCCGUGAAAACUGACUAGCUAGAGUAUGGUAGGGGCAGAGGGAAUUCCCAGUGUAGCGGUGAAAUGCGUAGAGAUUGGGAAGAACACCGGUGGCGAAAGCGCUCUGCUAGGCCAAAACUGACACUGAGGGACGAAAGCUAGGGGAGCGAAUGGGAUUAGAUACCCCAGUAGUC